GCAAACAUAACUCUGGAAAUAUGACUAUAACAGCAAACAUAGCUUGGAAAAUAUUUAGAGUAGCAAACAUAACUUUGAAAAUAUGACUAGAGCAACAAACAUAGCUCUGAAAAUAUGACUAGAACAACAAACAUAACUCUAAAAAUAUGACUAUAACAGCAAACAUAGCUUGGAAAAUAUGACUAGAGUAGCAAACAUAACUUUGAAAAUAUGACUAGAGCAGCAAACAUAGCUCUGAAAAUAUGACUAUAACAGCAAACAUAACUUUGAAAAUAUGACUAGAGUAGCAAACAUAGCUUUGAAAAUAUGACUAGAGCAACAAACAUAGUUUUGAAAAUAUGACUAGUGCAGCAAACAUAGCUUGGAAAAUAUGACCAGAGCAACGAACAUAACUUUGAAAAUAUGACUAGAGCAGCAGACAUAGUUUUGGAAAUAUGACUAGAGUAGCAGACAUAAAUUUGAAAAUAUGACUAGAGCAACAAACAUAGCUUUGAA
rnacentral:lncRNA from 1 species